AAGAUAUUUUCAAUCAUUCACAGCAAUUAUUUAGGAAGUAAUUUCAAACAACAUGGGAGGACUUACCACCUAAUGGCAGAUGACUGGUGAGCAGAGAAAGAGACCAAGGUCUUGAGCAAAGCAGUUCUCUGCAGAUGGCUGGGCUCAGUAAGAGGAUAAAAAAUGAACCUGACCAUUAAGAGAAAGUGAAGCUGACUAGCUGAGUUUCAGUGGUCCUGCUGAAGGCAGUACAAUGAAACAACCAGCACUAGGUGGGAAAAGGUCAAAAAGCAGACUGUGUGACAAGAGAGAAAUUGGAGAAGGCUGAGAUAAUGCCCAAUUAGAUCAUGCAGUUCACCUCCCUGGGGCGAAUGACAGACUGGGUAGUGCAGUUCCAGCAAAGGUGGAACUCCUCCCUGGAUCCAGGCACACAUCAUUGACAAAAGACUUCAGGCCUAAUCAUGACAUUCUGAGGUAAGCAAGGCCUCCAGGAUUUGGCUUAGUGUAGGAAACUCUUUAAAAGAUGCAGUUAUUUGUAAAAAGUCAUCAUUAAAGCCAGCCUCCUGAUAUGCUGCCACUGGAUACACGCUCCUUUACCUAAAAGGUUUCCUACCCCUCUUAUAUCCUAGCUUCUUCAGUGAAACAGCCAACAAUAUAAAAAUCAAACCCAACAAUAAAACAUCCUCAAGCCCAAGCAUAGUAAUUCAAUUUAAUACUAACGACUUUACCAGCACUCCUGUAAUGGCUAUGGAUUUUGUCUAUCUAUUGGAAAAUGUCUCUGAGGUGAAGAGCCCAUAGUCUGUCUUCCAGAGGAGAAGGUGUCAUUGGUCAGAUUUGUUUUGAAGACAUGAUAUAAUGUAGGACUGGAAGGUCUCCUGGGCUUUCCUAAUGCAAUCUAUUUGUGUGCAGUUUGGGUUGUGAUAGGGAAAGUGGGUAUAGCCGUGCAUUGUGGAGCCUGUGAAUUGCUGAGAAGCAUAGUUCUAAUGCCUUGCUUUCCCCUUUGGGUCAGCAUUGGUCCAGUGCUUUCAUUUGCUGCAAGUGCUUCUCUAACCUUGGCACAAUCAGCAUGGUGAUUUUGUGUGUCUGGGUCUCUCCACUGCUCACUGUUAGAGGUUAUGCCCCAG